rnacentral:rRNA from 1 species
UACAGAAGAAGCACCGGCUAACUCCGUGCCAGCAGCCGCGGUAAUACGGAGGGUGCGAGCGUUAAUCGGAAUUACUGGGCGUAAAGGGCACGCAGGUGGUAGAUUAAGUUGAUUUGUGAAAUCCCUGAGCUUAACUCAGGAAAGCAUUCAAAACUGAUCUACUAGAGUCUUGUAGAGGGGAAUAGAAUUCCAUGUGUAGCGGUGAAAUGCGUAGAGAUAUGGAGGAAUACCGAUGGCGAAGGCAAUUCCCUGGACAAAGACUGACACUCAUGUGCGAAAGCAUGGGGAGCAAACAGGAUUAGAUACCCUGGUAGUCCAUGCUGUAAACGAUGUCGAUUAGGAGGUUGUCACGAUCAAGUGAUGGCUUCCGAAGCUAACGCGUUAAAUCGACCGUCUGGGGAGUACGGCCGCAAGGUUAAAACUCAAAUGAAUUGACGGGGGCCCGCACAAGCGGUGGAGCAUGUGGUUUAAUUCGAUGCAACGCGAAAAACCUUACCUACUCUUGACAUCCAGAGAGAUCUGCAGAGAUGUAGAUGUGCCUUAGGGAACUCUGAGACAGGUGCUGCAUGGCUGUCGUCAGCUCGUGUUGUGAAAUGUUGGGUUAAGUCCCGCAACGAGCGCAACCCUUGUUCUUUGUUGCCAUCGAUUCGGUCGGGAACUCAAAGAAGACUGCCGGUGAUGAACCGGAGGAAGGAGAGGACGACGUCAAGUCAUCAUGGCCCUUACGAGUAGGGCUACACACGUGCUACAAUGGCGUAUACAGAGAGAAGCGAACUUGCAAAAGAGAGCCAAACUAAGAAAGUACGUCACAGUCCGGAUUGGAGUCUGCAACUCGACUCCAUGAAGUAGGAAUCGCUAGUAAUCGCGAAUCAGCAUGUCGCGGUGAAUACGUUCUCGGGCCUUGUACACACCGCCCGUCACACCAUGGAAGUGGGUUGUAAAAGAAGCAGGUAUCUUUAACCUAUUCGUAGGAUAGAGCCUACCACUUUAUGAUUCAUGACUGGGGUGAAGUCGUAACAAGGUAACCGUAGGGGAACCUGUGGCUGGAUCACCUCCUUUCU